rnacentral:rRNA from 1 species
GAGGAGGCAGCAGUGGGGAAUAUUGGACAAUGGGCGCAAGCCUGAUCCAGCCAUGCCGCGUGCAGGAUGAAGCAUCUAUGGUGUGUAAACUGCUUUUGUACGAGAAGAAACAUCCCGACGUGUCGGGACUUGACGGUAUCGUAAGAAUAAGGAUCGGCUAACUCCGUGCCAGCAGCCGCGGUAAUACGGAGGAUCCAAGCGUUAUCCGGAGUCACUGGGUUUAAAGGGUCCGUAGGCGGACCAGUAAGUCAGUGGUGAAAUCUCCCGGCUCAACCGGGAAAUGGCCAUUGAUACUGCUGGUCUUGAAUUAUUAGGAAGUAACUAGAAUAUGUAGUGUAGCGGUGAAAUGCUUAGAGAUUACAUGGAAUACCAAUUGCGAAGGCAGGUUACUACUAAUGGAUUGACGCUGAUGGACGAAAGCGUGGGUAGCGAACAGGAUUAGAUACCCCGGUAGUCGG